rnacentral:tRNA from 1 species
GAGAGGUGGCCGAGUGGUUGAAGGCGGCGGCUUGCUAAGCCGUUGUAGGGGUUAAACCCCCUACCGCGGGUUCGAAUCCCGCCCUCUCC